rnacentral:rRNA from 1 species
GACGAACCGUGCGAACGUUGUUCGGAAUCACUGGGCUUAAAGGGCGCGUAGGCGGGCAAGCAAGUCCGGGGUGAAAUCUUUCGGCUCAACCGGAAAAGUGCCUUGGAUACUGCUUGUCUGGAGGGAGGUAGGGGCCCGUGGAACUUCCGGUGGAGCGGUGAAAUGCGUUGAUAUCGGAAGGAACGCCGGUGGCGAAAGCAGCUCUCUGGGACGGUACUGACGCUGAGACGCGAAAGCGUGGGGAGCGAACAGG